rnacentral:tRNA from 1 species
GGCACUGUGGCUCAGUGGCAGAACAUCUGCUUUGCUUGCAGAACGCCCCCAGUUCAGACCCUGGCAAGUCUAGUUA